CCCCUGGUUAGCUCAGUUGGUAGAGCGCUCCACUGCAAAUGGAGAGGUCUGGGGUUCGAUACCCGGACAGGGGA
rnacentral:tRNA from 1 species